GAGGAACGUGGAUUUUCACUUAAAUGGGGGAUUUGCAAAGAGAAAACGUGAUUUUCAGGUUAAAUGGGGGAUUCUCGAAGAGAAAACGUGUGAUUUUCGGGUUAAAUGGGGGAUUCUUGAAGAGAAAACGCGUGAUUUUCGGGUUUAAAUGGGGAUUCUGAGAGAAAACGCGUGAUUUUCACUAAAAUGGGGGAUUCUCG
rnacentral:lncRNA from 7 species